rnacentral:rRNA from 1 species
AUUGAACGCUGGCGGCAUGCUUUACACAUGCAAGUCGAACGGUAACAGGGUGCUUGCACCGCUGACGAGUGGCGAACGGGUGAGUAAUGCGUCGGAACGUGCCGAGUAGUGGGGGAUAGCGCAGCGAAAGUUGUGCUAAUACCGCAUACGUACUGAGGUAGAAAGUGGGGGACCUUCGGGCCUCACGCUAUUCGAGCGGCCGACGUCUGAUUAGCUAGUAGGUGAGGUAAAGGCUAACCUAGGCGACGAUCAGUAGCGGGUCUGAGAGGAUGAUCCGCCACACUGGGACUGAGACACGGCCCAGACUCCUACGGGAGGCAGCAGUGGGGAAUUUUGGACAAUGGGCGAAAGCCUGAUCCAGCCAUGCCGCGUGUCUGAAGAAGGCCUUCGGGUUGUAAAGGACUUUUGUCGGGGAGGAAAUCCCCAGCGUUAAUACCGCUGGGGGAUGACAGUACCUGAAGAAUAAGCACCGGCUAACUACGUGCCAGCAGCCGCCGUAA